GACGGAGGGAGCAAGCGUUGUUCGGAAUAACUGGGCGGAAAGCGCGGGCAGGCGGGCGGUUAAGUCGUUUGUGAAAACCCGGGGCUCAACCCCGGGAAUGCGUACGAUACUGGCAGGCUGGAGACCGGUAGAGGCUAGCGGAAUUCCUGGUGUAGCGGUGGAAUGCGUGGAUAUCAGGAAGAACUCCUGAGGCGAAGGUGACUUGCUGGGCCGGGUCUGACGCUUAUCCGCGAAAGCGUGGGGAGCAUACAGG
rnacentral:rRNA from 1 species